GUAAGUACACGUAUCUCGGCUACUAUAUAGUAGGUAAGUACACGUAUCUCGGCUACUAUAUAGUAGGUAAGUACACGUAUCUCGGCUACUAUAUAGUAGGUAAGUACACGUAUCUCGGCUACUAUAUAGUAGGUAAGUACACGUAUCUCGGCUACUAUAUAGUAGGUAAGUACACGUAUCUCGGCUACUAUAUAGUAGGUAAGUACGCGGUUUGGGACGCAGCCCACAGCUUCAAGCAGUCGUCUAUUUGCACGUACAGCAUGACAAAUAAUUAACCGCACUUGAAGCGUCCGUAGAAUUUAAAAUGAAACACCCGAAACUGUAUACGGGACCAUAACGAAGACCGACUGUAUGUGGACGUGAAAUUCUGGAGGGAACGGUGUGGCGUGGGGACGUAAUGACGUGUGAUUUUAAUCGCUCCAUGAUCUAUAGCAUGUAAAACCUGAACAUGGAAGGAGUAUUCUAAACGCGACUCAUGUAAACACCUUAAUCACAAUAUAGUCUUACUCAGAGUAAGGUCAGUAAUUAGAUCACCGCUGUCCAUGUAAACAGAGCGUCGGGUGUCGGAGCUUCGUAACAGUCACAGUGCUUUCUGUAGUUUCUCAUCACAGGAAAGUCUUCCGGAGAGUGGAUUUUCCACUUUCCACUUAGUUUUGUAAAAUGCCAUCCUUUUUUAAAAAUUUUUUUUAGUCCUAUUAACUCUGUCCAUACAGGAUUUCACAGAGUUUAUUAAUAUUUUUUUGUGAUCGUUGCAGCCAAAAAUGCUUGAUUUUGCUGCGGGUUUUUUCAAAAUUUGUGAUACAGUUUGCAGAGUUUUUGUGCUUUUUUUUUGUGUGGAAAACUAUUGAAUUGCACGAAAUUGCCUUUCACAGUGAUGGUUAUUGGGUAAAUGAGACCUUUUAGCUGUAAUAAUGUUCAAUGCAUGUGACUUGAAAAGGGUUCUGGCUGAAUGCGCGUUGUGAUGACGUCGCACCUUCACCCAAAUCUGCAGAAAAUCUGUUGUAAUUUUGAAAAAUUGCAAGCUCCUAAAAAUAUUAUGGAGUUUCCUUGGGUUUGUGUAAAUUUCAGCGAUCGCAAAAUCCCGGCGUGACCGAUGAACUGUUUAUUGUUGUUGUUGUUGUUGUUGUUGUUGUUGUUAUUGCUGCGUUUGACUAGCUUUGGGAGUGGGAGGCUGGAACUGGGAAUGACGUCAUUUUGGACGAGUUCCUGAGAAGGAGUUCUUGUCUCAUUAACUAUAAACUGCUGAAAACCUGACGUGUUGUUGUUUUUUAAGAAAUGAAACAUUGUCCACGGCGACACAUCAGUAUUUAUGUAUGCAUAAUAUGACCUGAAGCGUAGCAUACAAUCCCGGAGUGCAUCACGCCAUCCCGGAGUAUAAUAUUUUCAUAUAAUGGCGGAGUCCAUUGUGUGCUAUUGCUUACAUAAGUGCUAAAUUGACCAUGCAACUGUAAGUGUAUGUAUGUAACAUGUAUGACGGUUUCAUUUGAAUAUGUAUUUUUCCCUCUGUGAUGUGCCAAGGAUGCGCCGUCACCUUGUUUUGAACUCAUCUUUUGUGACUAUAAUUGCAGGAAGAAAAUUCGAGUCUGUUGGCAUGACUGUCCCGACUGACGUUAACACGUACUCACUUGGAAAAAACAAAAACCCCUAAGCUCUGAGGAGAAUCCACUAGUUUGGUAUGGAAAUCCGUCUGCAUGCCAGUGUAGACUCCCUGUCCACUUUAAGAGGAACACGUGUACACCUGCUCAUUCGUGCAGUUAUCUAAUCAGCCAAUCAUGCAGCAGCAGCACAGUGUGGAGAAUCAAACAGAACAAGCACUUCAGGUAAUGUUCACGAUGGGGAAAAUUUAACCGUGGCAUGGUGGGUUUUUUUUCUUUUUUUUUUUUCUUUUUCUUGCCAGGGCUGGUAUGAGUAUUUCAGGUAUUUCUCUAGGGUCUACACAGAAUGGUGCAAAAAACAAAAAGCACAGAGCGAGCGACAGUUCUGUGGGUGGAAACGCCUGGUUGAUGAGAGAGGUCGGAGAAAAAUGACCAGACUGGUUCAAGCUGCCUGGAAGGAUAUAAUGACUCAUAUAGUCACUCUUUACAACCAUGGUGAUCGGAAAAGCAUCUCAGCAUGCACAAAACACUGCGUUCCUCUCCUAUCAGCCAAGAACAGGAACCUGAGGCUAUCAGGAGUGGAACCUGAUGUGGUCUUGUGCUGUUGUAGCUCAUCCACCUCACGGUUUGGUGUGUUCUGAGAUGCUUUUCUGUUCACCGUGGUUGCAAAGAGUGCUUAUUUGAGUUACUCUAGAAUUCCCGUCAACUCGGACCAUUCUCUCUCAUCAUCAGGGUGUUUCUUCCUGCAGACGCUCCACUCGCCGGAGACUGCUGUAUGGGAAAAUCCCAGGAGAUCAGCAGUUUCUGAAAUACUCAAACCAGCCCAUCUGGCAACCAGAGAACCAUGCCGUGGAUAAAGUCACAGAGAUCACAUUUUUUUCUUCGUUUUGAUGUUUGACGUGAACAUUUAAGUGAAACUCUCGACCUGUAUUUCUGAAAUUUUUGCUACCGAGCAAAAAAAACAAAACUCCACUCCACUCUUUAGAUCACAUGUGAGAAAUAUAAUGCUGUAAGAUUUUGUGUAAAUAGCCCAACUGGGUCAGUCACGAUUGUUGUUUCCUAGCCCAGAAUAAUUGCAGCUGAAUUUAGCGCCCCCCGUCCGUCCUAACCAUCGUUCGAGCGCUAGGUCUGAGAUUAAGGAUGAGUAGUAAUGUAGUUUAUCCGAUGCUGCGGUGAAUCUCAUCUCGAGCGUGUCUCUUUCUAAAAAAGAAGGGAAGGAGAGAAUAAAAAGACCUUGCAGAAUUUGUGUAUUCUAUUUUAAAAAGUACAUUAUGUCUGAGAAGUCAGGCUGCAUGGUGUAACCGGAGCCAGGACUUUCUGCUGAAGCGAAGGGCGGGAGCGUAGAACGAAACAGUCGAAAAUAGGCACAGUCGAGCAAAGUGUAGGAGGAGAGGGUUAGCAGUCGCACUGCUGGGAGAGACAGUCUUUCUUUAUCUCUCUCUGUGUUUCUCUCUCUAUCUAUCUAUGUCUCUGUAUCUCUCUCUAUAUAUCUAUCUCUGUGUAUCUCUAUCUAUCUCUUGCACACAGUAUGGCGUGGAGUGCAGCAGUAAUGGCAAGUGUGUAAUUUUACACGUGACUAACACGGGAAGUGGAAAUACAUGUGUAACUGUACAUCAUAUUGUCAGUGUAUUCCUUCCUUCCCUCCCUCCGAGGAGAAUACACGAGAUCACGUUAUACUCUGCAGCUAUCAUUAUUGGAAGUUGUGUGAUGUUUGAUCAGGAAUUUAAUUCGUAAUUCUGCCAAACGCCCAUUCUAACUAGGGAUGAGUGAUAUCUUAUCGUUUGCGAUAUACCGGUAGAAAUUCUCCCUGCAGUAAGAAUUAGUCUACGCACGAUAAUAACGAUGAAGCCCAGUCGAUGAGGUAUUGGUGUGCGAGACCCGUUCGCAGCUCACGUGCAGAGCGAACAGGAGUAUGGCGGAAGGUGGACGUGAAGCCGAGGAGGAGUUUAUCGCUAAACG
ensembl:lncRNA